GACAGAGGUGCCGAGCGUUAGGCGGAAUCACUGGGCUUAAAGCGUGUGUAGGCGGACGGGUAAGUACCUUGUGAAAUCCCACGGCUCAACCGUGGAACGGCUGGGUAUACUGCCCGUCUUGAGCCACUUAGGGGCCGUCGGAACAAAUGGUGGAGCGGUGAAAUGCGUAGAUAUCAAGAGGAACACCUGAGGUGAAGACGGGUUGCUGGGCCGACACUGACGCUGAGUGCGCGAAAGCCAGGGGAGCAAACGGG
rnacentral:rRNA from 1 species